UACGUAGGGGGCAAGCGUUGUCCGGAAUCAUUGGGCGUAAAGAGCGUGUAGGCGGCUCGGUAAGUCCGCUGUGAAAGUCCAGGGCUCAACCCUGGAAUGCCGGUGGAAACUGUCGAGCUAGAGUCCGGAAGAGGCGAGUGGAAUUCCUGGUGUAGCGGUGAAAUGCGUAGAUAUCGUGAGGAACACCAGAGGCGAAGGCGGAUACCUGGACAAUUACUGACGCUCAGACACGACAGCAUGGGGAGCGAACGGG
rnacentral:rRNA from 1 species